CGUGUAGGCGGCCUGGUAAGUCAGAUGUGAAAUACCUUGGCUCAACCAAGGAAGGGCAUUUGAAACUGCCUGGCUUGAGUACGGGAGGGGGAAGCGGAAUUCCCGGUGUAGAGGUGAAAUUCGUAGAUAUCGGGAGGAACACCGGUGGCGAAGGCGGCUUCCUGGACCGAUACUGACGCUGAGACGCGAAAGCGUGGGGAGCAAACAGGAUUAGAUACCCUGGUAGUCCACGCCCUAAACGUUGGGCACUAGGUGUUGCGGGUAUUGACCCCUGCAGUGCCGAAGCUAACGCAUUAAGUGCCCCGCCUGGGGAGUACGGCCGCAAGGCUAAA
rnacentral:rRNA from 1 species